rnacentral:lncRNA from 1 species
UUGAAAGCCUCUUAUGAGGUUGCAGUCAAGUGGUUGGCCAGACCCAUAGUCAUCUCAAAGUUACAUUGAGAGUAGGUCUUCUUCCAAACUUCCUCACAUUGACCUGUCCACAGGGAGGCUUCAGGAAAUGGCAAUUGGCUUCCUCCACAGUGAACCAUCCAAAGGGACAGAGAGAGCACUCCUGGAGAGAACAAGAGAAUGCCCGAGACAGAAGCUGCAGUCUUUUUGUAACCUAACCAUGGCAAUUUCCACCAGAUUUGAGGAGGCAGGAAGGAGAUGCAGCAGAACGGAAAAUCAGAGAGAUUCCAAGCAUAAGAAGGAUUUGGUGCGCUGUUGCUGGUUCUGAGAUGGAGGAAGCCACGUGCAAGGACUGAAGAGAGGCCUGUGGAACCUGAGGAUGGCCCGCAGCUGAUAGCCUGCAAAUAAAUGGAAUCUCAGUCCUAUAACUGCAAGGAAUUAGACUCUGCCAAUGUCAGUGAGCUUGGAAGCAGAUUCUUUCCUAGAGCCCUAGUCAGGGACACAGCCUUGCUGAUACCUUGAUUUUAGCCUGGAGAAAUCUGUGUGGGACUUCUAACUCACAGAAGUGUUAGAUAAUAAAUGGAUGUUUUUCUUAGCCGCUGAACUCAUAGUAAUCUGUUAUGGCAACAAUAAAAAACUAAUACAAAGUGUACGAGAUACAAAUCUCUUGUGUUUCUUUUUUUUUUUUUUUUUCCUAAUACACAGGAGUGAGGCAGGCAGCUCGUUAUGGUGAUAGGUGAAAUUCUCCUUAGGAACCAAUAUUUGAGGGGAACUCCAAGGUGUCUAGAAGGCUCUAUCAACCUAAGGAAUUUAGUGCACACAGAAAAGAGCAUGAGGGAUGUCCACAGAAGGCACUAACUCAUCCCCCGCAUAAUGUGAAGCAGGCUGCUCAGCUGAGUCUAGUUUAUACUGCACCGCCCCCUGACUCCACCACUACCCCUUUCUCACAGACUUGGGAGAGUUUCAGCCCAGCCCAGCCCAGCCCUCAGGCCCCUACAUGGAUAUUGAGAGCAGCUGGGAAGGGGAUGGAACAAUAAAGAGCUCACAUUUAGGUAAUAAAAGAGGGUAAGCAUAGAAGCCAAUAAACUAAACAAGAAUAGACCUCAUCAAUUAACCCCCACUAAGGCAGAGUCCCAGCAUGAAAAUAGAUUCAUC